rnacentral:rRNA from 1 species
UACGGAGGGGACUAGCGUUGUUCGGAAUUACUGGGCGUAAAGCGCGCGUAGGCGGCUUUGUAAGUCAGGGGUGAAAUCCCGGGGCUCAACCUCGGAACUGCCUUUGAUACUGCAAAUCUCGAGUACGGAAGAGGUGAGUGGAAUUCCUAGUGUAGAGGUGAAAUUCGUAGAUAUUAGGAAGAACACCAGUGGCGAAGGCGAGUCUCUGGACAUUUCCUGACGCUGAGGCACGAAAGCCUGGGGAGCAAACGGG